UACGGAGGGAGCUAGCGUUGUUCGGAAUUACUGGGCGUAAAGCGCACGUAGGCGGCUUUGUAAGUUAGAGGUGAAAGCCCGGGGCUCAACCCCGGAAUUGCCUUUAAGACUGCAUCGCUUGAAUCCGGGAGAGGUGAGUGGAAUUCCGAGUGUAGAGGUGAAAUUCGUAGAUAUUCGGAAGAACACCAGUGGCGAAGGCGGCUCACUGGACCGGUAGUGACGCUGAGGUGCGAAAGCGUGGGGAGCAAACAGG
rnacentral:rRNA from 1 species